rnacentral:lncRNA from 1 species
UAAAGAGUGGCACUUUGCCAGAACAUGAGCUUCGCGAACAUACACACACAACACAUGGAACUCUUGCGAUCUACUUCGUCAAGAACAAGUGUUAAGUCCUUCCUUGCAUGGCUCACAUGUUGGAUCUUACCAAGUCAUCUUCAUCCCAUCUUUGCCUACCUAGAGGACUAUAGUGCUCCCCAAGUGGCCAACCAAUAUGAGACUUGUGUCAUACAUGUGUAAAGACCCAUGACUAAAAGAGGGUCACCCUCACUUAUAAAUACUCAUUCUUAUCCUCGGGAAAAGGGAUGUCUCUCUUCACAACCUCCUCCCGUUUCACUACAAGAACAAGCCUUCUCUAUUUACUGCUCUUCGUACGACCUUCACCAAC